GUCAGAGGCGAUGAAGGACGUGCUAAUCUGCGAAAAGCGUCGGUAAGGUGAUAUGAACCGUUAUAACCGGCGAUGUCCGAAUGGGGAAACCCAGUGCAAUUCGUUGCACUAUCGUUAACUGAAUACAUAGGUUAACGAGGCGAACCGGGGGAACUGAAACAUCUAAGUACCCCGAGGAAAAGAAAUCAACCGAGAUUCCCCC
rnacentral:rRNA from 1 species